UUUUUUUUUUUUACCAAUACUGAUAUCCCAAUGUCAAUGAUAAAAUUGAAAACUCCCUAAUUUGGAGUAUAUAUGGCCCCUCUUUCUUUUCAACAGUGAAGACCAAAAUAUCAAUGGUAGAGUCAAAUUCCCCCAACUUGUAAUUUUUCUCUUGCAAAAAAUUUUGAGCAUUUUUGCCAUUUUUUUUUCAAUUCUCAAAUCUCCUUCCCCAGUGUGGGGGUGCGAUCAUAAGUGCUUUUGAAACGAACCACCAAUUUAGACUCAAAUGGGGAUGCAAAGGAUAGAAAGUGUUUGGAUAGUAGAAACAAUGGCCAAAGCAUCAUUCUUGUUUCUCAUGACAACCAAAGUAAAGAAUAGCCCAUUGAGAAAAUCCAUUUCGUUUUGACAUUUGAGAAUUUUUCAUGGAUGGUCAUGAUCAUUUAGAUUUUUAUUUGAAACGGAAUUCUAUUUUUGGAGGUUCAAAUGGGAAAAUAAAUGAUAAAAUCUAUAUAGAUAGAGAAACAAAAGCCUAAAGUAUCAUUCCAAAUUUUCAAAACAAAUAAAAAGUAAUAUACAUUUUUGUUUUCACUCAGAUGUGGAUUGAAUCUGGUUAGACACACUGGACAUUUUCAUAGUAAAAUUGUCUCACUUUGAAGCUAGUCAAUCAAUGCGACUGACUUUGGAGGUUCAAUAGAAGUGGACAAAAAAUGAAAAAAGUGUCGGGGUUGAUCUUUAUGACAAACUAUCAAAUUUGUAUGACCCCUUUUAUUUUCGACUACUCCCAUUGAAUAGUUUAGAUCACAAAUCUAGUGUAUGCAAAGAAUUUUGGGAAUUUGACGUGCACUCAUGAAUUUUGAACAAGAGGUCGAAAAAUUUCAAUUUUUAUUCCUUAAAAUCUAUCAUGAAAUCUCUCAAUGAGCAAAUAAAGAAUGAAUAUAUACAAAACAAUAAUUGUCUAAAUAAAAACUUUAUUAUUCAAAUGUUUGAAAUUUUUUUUUUUGGGUCAAAUAUAAUACAUGUGAGCAAAUAAAAAUCUCUAAAGAAUACAUUUUCAAAUAUAUACACACUUUCUCCUUCUAUCUUUUGAGACAAAAUAUAUUAGAAACAAUGAAUCAAAAGAUUUUUGAGAUACUUUACACUAGCGUUUUCAAAUGGAUUUUUCAUUCAUUUUUUUCAUCAUCGUUUUUUUUUUUUUUACAUUGUAGGAUCUGCCCAAGAAUCAAGCAACACUUGUAAUUUUCAAAAUUUAUCAGACCAAAAAUAUUAUCAGAUAUAGGAAAAAUAUUUUUACCUUGUUGAAACAACUUUUAUAAAUGCAGGGGAGGGGGAAAAAAUAAAAGCAAAAUACCCAGAGUUAGUAAGCAAAACUGCAAAAUCGGUAUGCAUGUCCUAUGGGGGAACCCUUUUAUGCCAAGAGUUGGCCUAGUAUGAAAAAUGCAAUCCUCUGGGGUAGGCACCAUACAAUACCUGAUGGAUCCGAUCGACUUAUUGAGAUUCAAUGAAAAGACAAUUUUGAAAAGACUGGAUAAUUGGAGUGACAAAAGACAAUUUGUUCUAAUAAAAUGAGGACAAAGUCCGAAUGGAUUGAUUGUUUUGAUUGACACAUAAAGUGAUGUUAAAAAUCAAUUUAGUGUGAAAAACUUAUUUUUGAAAGGAUUGAAAUAUCUCGACUAGUUUCUUCGGUGAACCAUAGAUCGAAACUUUAAAAGAGAAUAAACGAGUUAAAUGGAUCGAAUGAAAUUGAUGGUUAGUUCAAAAAAUUGACUGGAUUAUCCUAAAAAUGAAUAAAGUUGAUCAAAUGAAUUGGAUGGAAUUGAGAAUUUAUUCAAAAAAAAAUAAAAAAAUAAAAUUGAUUAAAUGAAUAAUGAAUUGAAUGGAAUUGAUGAUUAAUUCAAAAUUGAUUGUAUUGGCCUAAAAAUGAAUAAAUUGGUCAAAUAGAUUGGAUAGAAUUGCCAGUUU
rnacentral:lncRNA from 1 species